rnacentral:rRNA from 1 species
UACGUAGGGUGCAAGCGUUAAUCGGAAUUACUGGGCGUAAAGCGCGCGUAGGCGGCUGUCUAAGUCGGGUGUGAAAGCCCCGGGCUCAACCUGGGAACUGCAUUCGAUACUGGACGGCUAGAGUAUGAGAGAGGGAGGUAGAAUUCCACGUGUAGCGGUGAAAUGCGUAGAUAUGUGGAGGAAUACCGGUGGCGAAGGCGGCCUCCUGGUUCAAUACUGACGCUGAGGUGCGAAAGCGUGGGGAGCAAACAGG